CAACAUUUACGUCAUUUAGCAGACGCUCUUAUCCAGAGCGAUUUACAAAUUGGUGCAUUCGGAGCUGUCUCUAUAAAUUCAUCCUACAGAGGUUCACGCAGGUCAGAUGUUUUGAUUUCUUUGUUUUGAACCUAACCUAAUAUACAGGUUGUGUAGGUUGGGUGGUCUUGAUGAGUUAACGUAAAGGCAGACGGGGAGAUCUUGAAUUUUCUCUAACAGGCCGGGUGCCUAUCAUGAUUGGCAGUUAGCGUCAGGGCAGAUAGAGCUGACAACCUGCUGUAAAAUAAUUUAUGUCAUUAUUUCAUAACGCAUUUAAAGUUGUUUAAAAAAUUGCGAAAUUGAAAGCUGUGAUUUUUUUUUUUUUAUCGAACUGAAACCUGAAGAGACCUCAAAAAGCACUAAUCGCUCAGCACUAGUGUGGGUGACCUUGAGACUGUGUGCGCGUUGUUAGUGCGGGUGAGAAGGCACUCGCUGUCUCACACUGAACCGACAAGAAAGCGGCUCUCUACACACUCAUGUGUCAAACUUGUGUUCAGGGGUAUUAUCAGGGGUACUGCGGGAGCAGACGUGACAGGACACCCCCACCCCCCUCUUAGGGCACCACCCGGCCUCCCACCUGGGCGAACCAGCCGAGACAUGGGCGCUGGGCAAGCCGGUUGGGGCGUGGAAGCGUGGAAGGAGCGUGAUGAGGGAUGGGAAGCCGCGGAGCCUACCAAGGCAAGGAAACCUCUCGAGCCAGCCAGAGCGUGGAAGCCCGACAGGCUGGCUAGGCACCCCCGGUUCCAUCGGUGGCGACCCAGAGCCGAUGUCACCACUAACCGGAACGCCAGUACUCCCCGAUGCUUCGUAUGUUGGCUUCUGCAUUCUGUCACAUGGAAUGACGCUGGAGAGACGAAGCAGGCAAGUGUUUCCAGGCAUUGGUUCAUGUGAGAGUGCCAGCAGCUCCAUCAGACACAGUCACAGCAAGAUAGCCGAGUCACACGUUAUUUACACCAUUGUACCCCAGAACUCUGUAUUAAAACAUUUACUUCUACCGGAUCCUUCAAGUCAAGUCUCCUCUUUUACCUUUUCAAAGUCAUCUUGCUACAGUACUACAAAAUAACACACUUACACACUCAACUGGCAUUUGAAGGGAUACUGGUGUCAGAUUCCAAACCGACUGCCGCUGUGCCCUUGAACAAGGCAAUAAUCCUGUUGGGUUGUGUCUAGAAAGCCAAAGAAAAAACGAAAUACGAGUGCAUAGAAAAUGACAAUGGUUGUAAACAAACCACAAACCAGAAGUUUCAUAUUGAGAACCUAAAGAACACAUUAAUGCUAUUAUACAUUGCUGGGUUUUAUUCUACUGGUGUUUGGUUUCCUUUCAUCUUCAUAGAUAAGAACUACACAUUCAUUUCAAUGCCUUAAUUAGAAAACAAAUAGACAUAGCUGUCACGUCCUGACCAGUAAAAGGGGUUGUUUGUCAUUAUAGUAUGGUCAGGGCAGGGGUUGUUUGUUUUGUGUGUUUUGAUGUUUUGGGGUUUUGUUCUGUUUUAUAUUUCUAUGUUUAUUCUAGGUUGUCUAUUUCUAUGUUGGAAUUGUUUGGGGUUGGUCUCUAAUUGGAGGCAGCUGAAUCUCAUUGCCUCUGAUUAGAGACCAUAUUUAAGUAGGGGUUUUU
rnacentral:lncRNA from 1 species